GGGUCUGUGGCCUAGAUGGUAAGGCGCAUUGCUGAUAACGAUGAGACCGUGGGUUCGAAUCCCGCCAGACCCC
rnacentral:tRNA from 1 species